UCGCUAUCUUAACGGAAUUCCUGUGCAGUACGAGAGGAACCACAGGUACGGACCACUGGCUCAAUACUAGUCCGACCGGACUUUGGUAUGACGCUACGUCCGCUGGAUUAUGCCUGAACGCCUCUAAUGUCGUAGCCAAUCCGAGCUGAUAGCGCUUCUCAAACCCAUUAGGUGUUCGGAAGCUAGCGGGCCUAACAACCCUCUGAGAUCCGUUGGAGUCUGCCUUUGCAGCCCGGCGUCUCAUCCCGCCAUACCUAGGCCGCAAUGAGUGGAGUUCGCUGCACGUGUUAGUACCGUAACUGGGAACGCCGUUGACUUGAGCUCUGCCCAAUGUGGAUAUACCUAGUUUCGACAUCUAUCAACCGUCCGCAACGACGGGAUUUCAGGCUGGGAGCUGCGAGUUGUAGAGAUGCGUUCGCAUCGAUCCUCUCAGGCGACCCAUGCUUGGUGGUUUG
rnacentral:ncRNA from 2 species